rnacentral:rRNA from 1 species
UACGUAGGUGGCAAGCGUUAUCCGGAUUUAUUGGGCGUAAAGGGAACGCAGGCGGUCUUUUAAGUCUGAUGUGAAAGCCUUCGGCUUAACCGGAGUAGUGCAUAGGAAACUGGGAGACUUGAGUGCAGAAGAGGAGAGUGGAACUCCAUGUGUAGCGGUGAAAUGCGUAGAUAUAUGGAAGAACACCAGUGGCGAAAGCGGCUCUCUGGUCUGUAACUGACGCUGAGGUUCGAAAGCGUGGGUAGCAAACAGG